rnacentral:tRNA from 1 species
GAGGGUAUAGCUCAGUGGAGAGCACAUGCUUAGCAUGCACGAGAUCCUGAGUUCAGUCCCCAGUCCCUCCA